GACGAACGCUGGCGGCGUGCUUAACACAUGCAAGUCGAACGGUAAGGCCCUUCGGGGUACACGAGUGGCGAACGGGUGAGUAACACGUGGGUGAUCUGCCCUGCACUUCGGGAUAAGCCUGGGAAACUGGGUCUAAUACCGGAUAGGACCAUGGACUUCACGGUUUGUGGUGGAAAGCUUUUGCGGUGUGGGAUGGGCCCGCGGCCUAUCAGCUUGUUGGUGGGGUAAUGGCCUACCAAGGCGACGACGGGUAGCCGGCCUGAGAGGGUGUCCGGCCACACUGGGACUGAGAUACGGCCCAGACUCCUACGGGAGGCAGCAGUGGGGAAUAUUGCACAAUGGGCGCAAGCCUGAUGCAGCGACGCCGCGUGAGGGAUGACGGCCUGGUUGUAACGU
rnacentral:rRNA from 1 species